rnacentral:rRNA from 1 species
UACGUAGGGCGCAAGCGUUAUCCGGAAUUAUUGGGCGUAAAGAGCUCGUAGGCGGUUUGUCGCGUCUGCCGUGAAAGUCCGGGGCUCAACUCCGGAUCUGCGGUGGGUACGGGCAGACUAGAGUGAUGUAGGGGAGACUGGAAUUCCUGGUGUAGCGGUGAAAUGCGCAGAUAUCAGGAGGAACACCGGUGGCGAAGGCGGGUCUCUGGGCAGUAACUGACGCUGAUGCGCGAAAGCCAGGGGAGCGAACGGG